CACCGGAGGCCCGGGCGUGGCGACUUCAGACCAGAGCCGGGGUCGCGACCCCGGUGGCAGAGGCGACAGCGGCAGUGGCGGCCCUAGAUACCUCCCGCAGCCCCGCAGCCCCGGCGCGUCCACGUGGUUUGGAACAGGAAGACGGAGAGACAAGACACCGGGUCAGAGGGGAGUGGGGCGGAGCUAGUGGCUACCACCCCGCCUCCCCACCCAGCUGGGGGCGGCCCCUGCGCCGCACCACGCUACUACUGGUCCGCGCAGAAUAAGGGUGGUACCCAUAGCACGCCGUCAUUGGCCCGAGCUGUAGUUGGGCGGUGCCUAGGCCGCACUGCCAUUGGCCCGUAGUGCAGCAGGGCGGUGCCCGGACCCCGGCAACAGCGCGCAGCGGGAGGGAGCGCGGGAGGGCGGCUCCCAGGUCCCGGGAGUCUCUUCGGCGUUACCCCCUGGAGUGGGAGCUGAGGGGAGCGAGAGGUUGGGGGUGGGUGCCUUCGAUGUGCGACCCCAGGCGUGAGGAUGGUGCUGUCCCCUUCCCCUCAGCCAGAGGUGGGCACGCUGGAGGCUGGAGGCCCCCUAGCCGCCGCUAUAUCCCCGGGAGCUGGUGCCGCGCGGUUCUUAGACCCGGGGAAAGACUCGAGGAAAAUGUCGAAGCUGGCAGUGGACUCGGCUCUUAUUAUUGUGAAGGCAAACCUGCUGAAUUGUCUUUCACCUGCACGUGCAUCUUUGUACCCGAGGGAUCCUCCCACCUGCCUGGAAACUCAGCAAACCAACAGAGAUCGGGAAUGAAGACCCCCAAAGUCUUCAGCUAAUGACUUAUGGGAGCUGAUACAUAAAUAGCCCAGUUCCUGAAACUCUUGGGUGAGACAACGCUAGAAUGGAGAUUCUACACUGUUUCCCCCAGGGGUCCCCGCGGGUUUAAUAAGCUCCAGUUGCCCACACUGGUGACUUGUUUAAGAAUCUUGCUGGCUACUUUCCCUCCCCUGUAGCACUCCCCAACUCCCUUCUGAUAAUGUCCAGGGAUUAACUUUCAAAUAAACUACUUGCACUCAAAACCUUGCCUCA
rnacentral:lncRNA from 1 species